rnacentral:rRNA from 1 species
UACGUAGGGUGCAAGCGUUGUCCGGAUUUAUUGGGCGUAAAGCGUCCGUAGGCGGCGUAAUAAGUCAGGUGUUAAAUACCGGUGCUCAACAUCGGCAUGGCAUCUGAAACUGUUUCGCUAGAGUAUGGUAGGGGUUACGGGAAUUCCAGGUGUAGCGGUGAAAUGCGUAGAUAUCUGGAGGAACACCAGUGGCGAAAGCGCGUAACUGGGCCAUAACUGACGCUGAUGGACGAAAGCUAGGGUAGCGAAAGGG